AAUUUUUUUAUUUUUAGAAAAAUAUAGCACGCCAUGCGUUUCAUUUAAUAAAAAAAUAAAUUUAGCUAUAUAGAAUGAACCAGUUAAAACCUCAAAAAGAGAAACAAACAAAACAAAAUUAAAAAAUAAAUAAAAAACACAAACACACAUCGAGAGAAUGGGUGGUAUAGAGAAAACGAUAAUAUAUUAUCAAUUUUGUUUAUCUUAAUUAAAAAAUAUGAAGUAACCAGACUGUGAGCAUGAAAUUUUAUAUACCAAUUAUCAAAUUUUCAACCAACUAUGUCAAAUAUAGCCGAGUAAAA
rnacentral:lncRNA from 1 species